rnacentral:lncRNA from 1 species
UGGACCAACCAGUCCCUUUACUGUCACUGCCCAGAGUAUGAGGGAAGUCGGACUACAAUAUCUUGAAGAGGAAAGAUAACAUUUUGAACAAUAUGAAAGCCAGUUAGGACCUUUUGACAAGUCACCACUAAAUGAACCAGAAGGACUAGGAGGAGAGAGUGGAGAUGAGGAGGCAGAGGAAGAAGAUACUAGUACUAACAUGAAUAUUACUGGACAAUCCAGUGUCAUCAUUACUAGUGAAGACAGUAUUCAGAUUGGGACUAUAGAUGUUGAAGGCACAGAUGAAGAGGAUAUAGAGAAAGGGAGGAAAGGAGAAGGAUUGAUAGCCAGUAGUUUGUUACCAGUCACUGGUGGUGGUAUGGACAUAUUGAGUCAUGAUUUACAAUAUUCAUCAUCAUCAAGCAGUGAAGGAGAGGGGGAAGAGGAGGAUAUUACUGAUAUGGAAGAAGUGUAACUUUGUUUAUGUGUAGGUAUCAUACUCCAUUCAUUUUUAACUUAAUGCACAAAAAAUGAUUAAAA